AAGGGAAAGUAGGCAAUCGCUAUUACCUUUGGUAAUAGAGGAAAGUCCGGACUUCGCAGGGAGAGAUGCCAGCGAAACGCUGGGGGCCGCAAGGCUACGGAAAGUGCAACAGCAAACACCCCGGGCACGCAAGUGCCACAGGCUGAAAAUGAUCUCUUUAGGAGAGAUCCCCUAGCUCGCAAGAGCAAGGCGCUGUAAACCCCAUCUGAAGCAAGAAGCGACGAGCUGCAAUGGUUUCCCGCCAGGCUCAUUGCCCCGAUCGCUCGAGGCAUUUGGUGACAAAUGCCCUAGACGAAUGAUUGUCCAAGACAGAAUCCGGCUUAACGCUUUCCCUUCUUU
rnacentral:RNase_P_RNA from 1 species